AAUGAACGCUGGCGGCAUGCCUAACACAUGCAAGUCGAACGAGACCUUGGGGUCCUGUCGCGCACGGGUGCGUAACCCGUGGGGUCAUGCACCUGGGUUUGGCCUAACUAUCCGAAUGGGGUGCCAAUAGCGGAUAAUAUCUCCGGACCGAAGAUUUAUUGCGUUUGGAGGGGCCCGAGUUGGAUUAGUUGGUUGGUAGGCUAAAAGCCUAACAAGGCGACGAUCCAUAGAUGGUUUGUGAGGAAGCUCAGCGACACUGGGAUGGGGACACGGCCCAGACUCCUACGGGAGGGAGCAGUGGGUAAUAUUGGACAGUGGGCGGAGGGAUGAUGCAGCUAGGCCGGUAGAGUGAUGAAGUUCGGGAAGUUGUAAAGCGCUUUUACCCGGGAUGAUAAUGACGGUACCGGGAGAAUAAGCACCGGCUAACUCCGUG
rnacentral:rRNA from 1 species